AUUGAACGCUGGCGGCAGGCCUAACACAUGCAAGUCGAGCGGCAGCGGAAAGCAGCUUGCUACUUUGCCGGCGAGCGGCGGACGGGUGAGUAAUGUCUGGGAAACUGCCUGAUGGAGGGGGAUAACUACUGGAAACGGUAGCUAAUACCGCAUAACGUCGCAAGACCAAAGAGGGGGACCUUCGGGCCUCUUGCCAUCAGAUGUGCCCAGAUGGGAUUAGCUAGUAGGUGGGGUAACGGCUCACCUAGGCGACGAUCCCUAGCUGGUCUGAGAGGAUGACCAGCCACACUGGAACUGAGACACGGUCCAGACUCCUACGGGAGGCAGCAGUGGGGAAUAUUGCACAAUGGGCGCAAGCCUGAUGCAGCCAUGCCGCGUGUAUGAAGAAGGCCUUCGGGUUGUAAAGUACUUUCAGCGGGGAGGAAGGUGUUGAGGUUAACAACCUCAGCAAUUGACGUUACCCGCAGAAGAAGCACCGGCUAACUCCGUGCCAGCAGCCGCAGUAA
rnacentral:rRNA from 1 species